rnacentral:misc_RNA from 1 species
GAUGAAGAACGCAGUGAAAUGCGAUAAGUAAUGUGAAUUGCAGAAUUCAGUGAAUCAUCGAAUCUUUGAACGCACCUUGCGCUCCUUGGUAUUCCGAGGAGCAUGCCUGUUUGAGUGUCAUUAAAUUCUCAACCUUUAUCUUUUAUUGAUAAAUGGCUUGGACUUGGGGGUUUGCUGGCGAAAGUCAGCUCCUCUGAAAUGUAUUAGCUGGUUGCCUUGUGUGAACUUGUCUAUUGGUGUGAUAAUUAUCUACGCCGUGGGCUGUUUGCCGUUUUAGCACUGCUUCUAACUGUCUGUUAACUCGGACAAUAUAUGACAAUUUGACCUCAAAUCAGGUAGGACUACCCGCUGAACUUAAGCAUAUCAAUAAGCGGAGGA